rnacentral:misc_RNA from 1 species
AGUGAUAAAAUUGAAGAUACUGGCAACUCCCUGUCCGAAAUCAAAACUGUUGUUCCUGGAAAUGUGUCAAAGAAACCUGGCAGUAUAAAGAUUAAGUUCUCAAAAGUGCUUGGUGGAUUGAGAGUUGAGAAGAGUGGUAGCACUGUAAUGGUGCAGGAUGAGAGCUUACAACAAAAGGAAUCGAAGACACCUCAUCAGGAAUCUCAAUAUAACAAGCAAGAGUUAGAUUCUGCCAUGUUGGGGAUUAAGAAGGUAAUGAAAAUGGAUGCAGCUGAAACCUUCAAUGUUCCUGUGAAUCCCGAACCUCUAGGAAUACCUGUAAGUGGAAAUAAAGCUCUAGGAAUACCUGUAAGUGUUUGGGGUGCUUAAUGACAUUAUAUCUAUGGUCCUUAUAGCACAAUGCUUAUAUUACCACACCACCCAAACCCCAACAAUUCCCCCACCCCCCA